UACCAGCACCUCGAGUGGUCAGGAGGUUUAUUGGGCCUAAAGCAUCCGUAGCCGGCUGCUCAAGUUUCCGGUUAAAUCCACACGCUUAACGUAUGGGCUGCCGGAAAUACUGUUCAGCUAGGGAGUGGGAGAGGUAGACGGUACUCGAUAGGAAGGGGUAAAAUCCUUUGAUCUAUUGAUGACCACCUGUGGCGAAGGCGGUCUACCAGAACACGUUCGACGGUGAGGGAUGAAAGCUGGGGGAGCAAACCGG
rnacentral:rRNA from 1 species